UGUGAACUCGAAGAGUAGGGCGGGACACGUGGUAUCCUGUCUGAAUAUGGGGGGACCAUCCUCCAAGGCUAAAUACUCCUGACUGACCGAUAGUGAACCAGUACCGUGAGGGAAAGGCGAAAAGAACCCCGGCGAGGGGAGUGAAAAAGAACCUGAAACCGUGUACGUACAAGCAGUGGGAGCACCUUCGGGUGUGACUGCGUACCUUUUGUAUAAUGGGUCAGCGACUUAUAUUCUGUAGCAAGGUUAACCGUAUAGGGGAGCCGCAGGGAAACCGAGUCUUAACUGGGCGUUAAGUUGCAGGGUAUAGACCCGAAACCCGGUGAUCUAGCCAUGGGCAGGUUGAAGGUUGGGUAACACUAACUGGAGGACCGAACCGACUAAUGUUGAAAAAUUAGCGGAUGACUUGUGGCUGGGGGUGAAAGGCCAAUCAAACCGGGAGAUAGCUGGUUCUCCCCGAAAGCUAUUUAGGUAGCGCCUCGUGAAUUCAUCUUCGGGGGUAGAGCACUGUUUCGGCUAGGGGGUCAUCCCGACUUACCAACCCGAUGCAAACUACGAAUACCGAAGAAUGUUAUCACGGGAGACACACGGCGGGUGCUAACGUCCGUCGUGAAGAGGGAAACAACCCAGACCGCCAGCUAAGGUCCCAAAGUCAUGGUUAAGUGGGAAACGAUGUGGGAAGGCACAGACAGCCAGGAUGUUGGCUUAGAAGCAGCCAUCAUUUAAAGAAAGCGUAAUAGCUCACUGGUCGAGUCGGCCUGCGCGGAAGAUGUAACGGGGCUAAACCAUGCACCGAAGCUGCGGCAGCGACACUAUGUGUUGUUGGGUAGGGGAGCGUUCUGUAAGCCUGCGAAGGUGACCUGUGAGGGUUGCUGGAGGUAUCAGAAGUGCGAAUGCUGACAUAAGUAACGAUAAAGCGGGUGAAAAGCCCGCUCGCCGGAAGACCAAGGGUUCCUGUCCAACGUUAAUCGGGGCAGGGUGAGUCGACCCCUAAGGCGAGGCCGAAAGGCGUAGUCGAUGGGAAACAGGUUAAUAUUCCUGUACUUGGUGUUACUGCGAAGGGGGGACGGAGAAGGCUAUGUUAGCCGGGCGACGGUUGUCCCGGUUUAAGCAUGUAGGCUGGUUGUCCAGGCAAAUCCGGAUAAUCAAGGCUGAGGUGUGAUGACGAGGCACUACGGUGCUGAAGUAACAAAUGCCCUGCUUCCAGGAAAAGCCUCUAAGCAUCAGGUAACAUCAAAUCGUACCCCAAACCGACACAGGUGGUCAGGUAGAGAAUACCAAGGCGCUUGAGAGAACUCGGGUGAAGGAACUAGGCAAAAUGGUGCCGUAACUUCGGGAGAAGGCACGCUGGUGUGUAGGUGAAGUCCCUGCGGAUGGAGCUGAGACCAGUCGAAGAUACCAGCUGGCUGCAACUGUUUAUUAAAAACACAGCACUGUGCAAACACGAAAGUGGACGUAUACGGUGUGACGCCUGCCCGGUGCCGGAAGGUUAAUUGAUGGGGUUAUCCGUAAGGAGAAGCUCUUGAUCGAAGCCCCGGUAAACGGCGGCCGUAACUAUAACGGUCCUAAGGUAGCGAAAUUCCUUGUCGGGUAAGUUCCGACCUGCACGAAUGGCGUAAUGAUGGCCAGGCUGUCUCCACCCGAGACUCAGUGAAAUUGAACUCGCUGUGAAGAUGCAGUGUACCCGCGGCAAGACGGAAAGACCCCGUGAACCUUUACUAUAGCUUGACACUGAACAUUGAGCCUUGAUGUGUAGGAUAGGUGGGAGGCUUUGAAGCGUGGACGCCAGUCUGCGUGGAGCCAACCUUGAAAUACCACCCUUUAAUGUUUGAUGUUCUAACGUUGGCCCCUUACCGGGGUUGCGGACAGUGUCUGGUGGGUAGUUUGACUGGGGCGGUCUCCUCCCAAAGCGUAACGGAGGAGCACGAAGGUUAGCUAAUCCUGGUCGGACAUCAGGAGGUUAGUGCAAUGGCAUAAGCUAGCUUGACUGCGAGCGUGACGGCGCGAGCAGGUGCGAAAGCAGGUCAUAGUGAUCCGGUGGUUCUGAAUGGAAGGGCCAUCGCUCAACGGAUAAAAGGUACUCCGGGGAUAACAGGCUGAUACCGCCCAAGAGUUCAUAUCGACGGCGGUGUUUGGCACCUCGAUGUCGGCUCAUCACAUCCUGGGGCUGAAGUAGGUCCCAAGGGUAUGGCUGUUCGCCAUUUAAAGUGGUACGCGAGCUGGGUUUAGAACGUCGUGAGACAGUUCGGUCCCUAUCUGCCGUGGGCGCUGGAGAAUUGAGGGGGGCUGCUCCUAGUACGAGAGGACCGGAGUGGACGCAUCACUGGUGUUCGGGUUGUCAUGCCAAUGGCACUGCCCGGUAGCUAAAUGCGGAAGAGAUAAGUGCUGAAAGCAUCUAAGCACGAAACUUGCCCCGAGAUGAGUUCUCCCUGAGACUUUAAGUCUCCUGAAGGAACGUUAAAGACGAUGACGUUGAUAGGCCGGGUGUGUAAGCGCAGCGAUGCGUUGAGCUAACCGGUACUAAUGAACCGUGAGGCUUAACCUU
rnacentral:rRNA from 1 species